rnacentral:rRNA from 1 species
AUGCCUUACACAUGCAAGUCGAACGGCAGCAUGAUCUAGCUUGCUAGAUUGAUGGCGAGUGGCGAACGGGUGAGUAAUACAUCGGAACGUGCCCUGUAGUGGGGGAUAACUAGUCGAAAGAUUAGCUAAUACCGCAUACGACCUGAGGGUGAAAGUGGGGGACCGCAAGGCCUCAUGCUAUAGGAGCGGCCGAUGUCUGAUUAGCUAGUUGGUGGGGUAAAGGCCCACCAAGGCGACGAUCAGUAGCUGGUCUGAGAGGACGAUCAGCCACACUGGGACUGAGACACGGCCCAGACUCCUACGGGAGGCAGCAGUGGGGAAUUUUGGACAAUGGGCGAAAGCCUGAUCCAGCAAUGCCGCGUGUGUGAAGAAGGCCUUCGGGUUGUAAAGCACUUUUGUCCGGAAAGAAAUGGCUCUGGUUAAUACCUGGGGUCGAUGACGGUACCGGAAGAAUAAGGACCGGCUAACUACUGCCACACCCACCCU